rnacentral:rRNA from 1 species
UACGGAGGGUGCUAGCGUUGUUCGGAAUCACUGGGCGUAAAGGGCGUGUAGGCGGCCUGUUAAGUCUGAUGUGAAAUCCCCUCGCUCAACGAGGGAACUGCGUCGGAUACUGGCAGACUCGAGUACCGGAGAGGAAGGUGGAAUUCCCGGUGUAGCGGUGAAAUGCGUAGAUAUCUGGAGGAACACCGGUGGCGAAGGCGGCAUCCUGGACCGAUAUUGACGCUGAUGCGCGAAAGCCAGGGGAGCAAACGGG